rnacentral:rRNA from 1 species
AACGAACGCUGGCGGCAUGCCUAACACAUGCAAGUCGAACGAGACCUUCGGGUCUAGUGGCGCACGGGUGCGUAACGCGUGGGAACCUGCCCUUAGGUUCGGAAUAACUCCCCGAAAGGGGUGCUAAUACCGGAUAAUGUCUUCGGACCAAAGAUUUAUUGCCUUUGGAUGGGCCCGCGUUGGAUUAGCUAGUUGGUAGGGUAAAAGCCUACCAAGGCGACGAUCCAUAGCUUGUCUGAGAGGAUGAUCAGCCACACUGGGACUGAGACACGGCCCAGACUCCUACGGGAGGCAGCAGUGGGGAAUAUUGGACAAUGGGCGAAAGCCUGAUCCAGCAAUGCCGCGUGAGUGAUGAAGGCAUUAGGGUUGUAAAGCUCUUUUACCCGGGAUGAUAAUGACAGUACCGGGAGAAUAAGCUCCGGCUAACUCCGUG